AUUGAACGCUGGCGGCAGGCUUAACACAUGCAAGUAGAACGCGUGGCGGACGGGUGAGUAAUGCUUGGGAAUCUAGCUUAUGGAGGGGGAUAACUACGGGAAACUGUAGCUAAUACCGCGUACCAUAGGAUGAGCCCAAGUGGGAUGAGGUAGUUGGUGGGGUAAAGGCGCACCAAGCCGACGAUCUCUAGCUGGGCUGAGAGGAUGACCAGCCACCUUGGGACUGAGACACGGUCCAGACUCCGACGUGCGUCAGCAGUGGGGAAGAUUGCGCAAUGGGGGCAACCUGACGCAGCCAUGCCGCGGGAAUGAUGAAGGCCUUCGGGUUGUAAAGUUCUGUCGGUAGCGAGGCGUUAACUACAGAAGAAGCACCGGCUAACUCCGUGCCAGCAGCCGCGGUAAUAC
rnacentral:rRNA from 1 species